UACAGAGGUCUCAAGCGUUGUUCGGAUUCAUUGGGCGUAAAGGGUGCGUAGGCGGCGCGGUAAGUCGGGUGUGAAAUCUUGGAGCUUAACUCCGAAACUGCAUUCGAUACUGCCGUGCUUGAGGACUGGAAAGGAGACUGGAAUUUACGGUGUAGCGGUGAAAUUCGUAGAUAUCAAGCAGAACACCGGUGGCGAAGGCGGCCUUCUGGACAGUGACUGACGCUGAGACGCGAAAGCGUGGGGAGCAAACAGG
rnacentral:rRNA from 1 species